rnacentral:rRNA from 1 species
GUCCAGACUCCUACGGGAGGCAGCAGUGGGGAAUAUUGCACAAUGGGGGAAACCCUGAUGCAGCGACGCCGCGUGAGCGAUGAAGUAUUUCGGUAUGUAAAGCUCUAUCAGCAGGGAAGAAGAUGACGGUACCUGACUAAGAAGCCCCGGCUAACUACGUGCCAGCAGCCGCGGUAAUACGUAGGGGGCAAGCGUUAUCCGGAUUUACUGGGUGUAAAGGGAGCGUAGACGGCGAUGCAAGCCAGAUGUGAAAGCCCGGGGCUCAACCCCGGGACUGCAUUUGGAACUGUGUGGCUGGAGUGUCGGAGAGGCAGGCGGAAUUCCUAGUGUAGCGGUGAAAUGCGUAGAUAUUAGGAGGAACACCAGUGGCGAAGGCGGCCUGCUGGACGAUGACUGACGUUGAGGCUCGAAAGCGUGGGGAGCAAACAGGAUUAGAUACCCCUGUAACA